rnacentral:rRNA from 1 species
CCUACGGGGGGCAGCAGUGGGGAAUAUUGGACAAUGGGGGCAACCCUGAUCCAGCCAUGCCGCGUGUGUGAAGAAGGCCCUCGGGUUGUAAAGCACUUUCAGUGAGGAAGAACGCCUGGUGGUUAAUACCCAUCAGGAAAGACAUCACUCACAGAAGAAGCACCGGCUAACUCCGUGCCAGCAGCCGCGGUAAUACGGAGGGUGCGAGCGUUAAUCGGAAUUACUGGGCGUAAAGCGCGCGUAGGUGGCUUGAUAAGCCGGUUGUGAAAGCCCCGGGCUCAACCUGGGAACGGCAGCCGGAACUGUCAAGCUAGAGUGCAGGCGAGGAAGGUAGAAUUCCCGGUGUAGCGGUGAAAUGCGUAGAGAUCGGGAGGAAUACCAGUGGCGAAGGCGGCCUUCUGGACUGACACUGACACUGAGGUGCGAAAGCGUGGGUAGCAAACAGGAUUAGAUACCCCGGUAGUC